AACACAUGCAAGUCGAACGGUAACAGGAAGCAGCUUGCUGCUUCGCUGACGAGUGGCGGACGGGUGAGUAAUGUCUGGGAAACUGCCUGAUGGAGGGGGAUAACUACUGGAAACGGUAGCUAAUACCGCAUAACGUCGCAAGACCAAAGAGGGGGACCUUAGGGCCUCUUGCCAUCGGAUGUGCCCAGAUGGGAUUAGCUAGUAGGUGGGGUAACGGCUCACCUAGGCGACGAUCCCUAGCUGGUCUGAGAGGAUGACCAGCCACACUGGAACUGAGACACGGUCCAGACUCCUACGGGAGGCAGCAGUGGGGAAUAUUGCACAAUGGGCGCAAGCCUGAUGCAGCCAUGCCGCGUGUAUGAAGAAGGCCUUCGGGUUGUAAAGUACUUUCAGCGGGGAGGGAGGGAGUAAAGUUAAUACCUUUGCUCAUUGACGUUACCCGCAGAAGAAGCACCGGCUAACUCCGUGCCAGCAGCCGCGGUAAUACGGAGGGUGCAAGCGUUAAUCGGAAUUACUGGGCGUAAAGCGCACGCAGGCGGUUUGUUAAGUCAGAUGUGAAAUCCCCGGGCUCAACCUGGGAACUGCAUCUGAUACUGGCAAGCUUGAGUCUCGUAGAGGGGGGUAGAAUUCCAGGUGUAGCGGUGAAAUGCGUAGAUAUAUGGAAGAACACCAGUGGCGAAAGCGGCUCUCUGGU
rnacentral:rRNA from 1 species